CUCUGUGACUCCUACGGGAGGCAGCAGUGGGGGAAUAUUGCACAAUGGGCGCAAGCCUGAUGCAGCCAUGCCGCGUGUGUGAAGAAGGCCUUCGGGUUGUAAAGCACUUUCAGUUGUGAGGAAGGUGGUGUCGUUAAUAGCGGCAUCAUUUGACGUUAGCAACAGAAGAAGCACCGGCUAACUCCGUGCCAGCAGCCGCGGUAAUACGGAGGGUGCGAGCGUUAAUCGGAAUUACUGGGCGUAAAGCGCAUGCAGGUGGUUUGUUAAGUCAGAUGUGAAAGCCCGGGGCUCAACCUCGGAACUGCAUUUUGAAACUGGCAGACUAGAGUACUGUAGAGGGGGUAGAAUUUCAGGUGUAGCGGUGAAAUGCGUAGAGAUCUGAAGGAAUACCGGUGGCGAAGGCGGCCCCCUGGACAGAUACUGACACUCAGAUGCGAAAGCGUGGGGAGCAAACAGGAUUAGAUACCCUGGUAG
rnacentral:rRNA from 1 species